GGAUUUAUAAGUGGCCCCAGGUGAGGGGCACCCUGUGUGCUUCAGUGUUGUAGGUAAGGCCUUGUUUUUGCAGCAGCUUUGGUUUUACGUUGUAUGGGCUGCAUUUUGGUACAGUAUUUCUGUAAAGUGUAGUAUUUUGCAAUUUACUGAAAGUUCACAGGGAUGUUUUGAAAUAACUAUUUAAGCUUUCAGAAGCAGUUGUGUGCUUUGCUUGUGUUUAUUUAUUCUGUGCCCUUAGGCUAUGGUUUUCAUUUACCACAUUUUUCAAGUUUUCCCUCAAUCUUUUCUCUCCUGGUCAAACAGUUGGAGCUCUGAGAAGGGAACUGCUGCUCGUGCUUUCCCAGAGGGGUUGGGCAUUUUGUUGUUCAGUGCAAGGAAAACAACCUUUCCAACACUGGUGGUGUUGCACUACUAUCAGCAUCACUGCUCCUUGAGACUGCAGUGUCCUGUUAGAACAACUGACCCUGCAGCUAGAGCUGCACAAGCAGGCACCUGCAGCAGUAUGGGGCUGUAUUGAUUUAGAUGUCACUUUGGAUUAUGUUCAGAAUAUUCUUGCAGAGCAGUUCUUAGCAGGGGGAGAUGUCCUUCAAGAGGAGAGCUGUGGCAGGGGAAGGGAAAUGUUUGCUUUGGUGACUGAUUAGCGUAAAGGAGGGGAUGUUUUGAAGCUGAACUGAGUUUGAAAGGUAAGUGUAUUCCACCCACACUACAGGCACAUACCUGAGCUUCUUGGAAAACAAGUAUAUUAGAAGAACAGUAGGAAUCAAAUGAGGUAAAUGUCUAACAAGUGCCAAGAUUUGUCAGUGAGUUCAAUGCUGCCUUAUUUCUGAAGCUGACAAAAGAAAAAUGGUAUCAUCUGGAAGGGCCAUUAAGCUCCAAGCUGCAGCCUCUGCCCUGGUGCAGAUGGCUACAAAUGAAAAACUCCUGCUGCCAGCCAGGCAGGAGAAACAGGGCAAUGAGCUGCACAGGGGAAGCACAGAGCUGCCCAGAGCGGGCAGUGCUGGCAGGUCCCGGGGUGUGCUUCAAACAAAUGAGAUUGCAGGAGGAAUUUGGAUACUGUGCUCUGCAAAGCGGUAAUGUAUUAAUCUGCUCUCCAGAAAUCUUUCAGUGUAGUGAACGGAACAUAACCCGAUUAUUUCAACCCUGAUUUUUUUUUUCCCCCUGUGGUUUUCCAUUGUAGGAAAUGCUCCUGGUUGUCAAAGCUUGUGUGAUGUUAUUCACGUGCACACAAUGGUUGUGUAUCCCAGGUGUGCCCAGGCACCUGGCCAAACACCAAGCAGGUAUUUUCUUCAAAGCAGUGCGUUUACAUGGCAAGGCAAGCAUUCAUUCUUUCAAACAAUUAUGACAGUGCUUAGCAUUUCUCUGUUAUUACAGAAUUGUUGAACUGUUGCUUUGAACUCCUAUAACCUUAGCCUGCAUGCAGUGGAAAAAUUCAGGAUUUGCUCGCUAGAGCAUGAUGCUGCAGUUCACAAUAAAAUAUUUGCUGUGCAUCCAGCUGAGAGCGCUGAUGUGUCCUGCAUCAUGUUGGGUUUGCUCUGCUUUAAUUUUGCAGGAGCCCUCCUGGAAAUCUGUAUUAAGAGUUUUGCUGUCAGAGUAGCGCUGAUAUUUCACAGUGCUCUAAAAUCCAUUUGCUCAGGAAGCUGCCUUUAAAGCCAACCAGCUGUGCAGAGAGCUCAGGAUGGAUCUGCACUGAAAGUUUCAUCAAAGGAACCCAGAGUUUGACCCCUAGUUUUCAAAAUGAUUUGAAAUGCUCUGCCUCGUGAAUUUGACUGCAUAAUAAGAGCACCACAGAAACAUCAGGGCUAUUUCUUGAAGCAGAUUCGGGAUCAUUUUGAUCAAGGGACUUGCCAGCUGCGAGCCCAUGCAAAGAGCAGCUAAUUUCUAAAGUGAGGCGUCUUUUUUGCCCCCAUGGUUAGACUGCCCUGAGAGUUACCAUUUAAAGUGCUGAGUUACUUAGGAGGAUACAGGACAGGAAUGCACCGAAGGUGAUUAGGUCACUUUACACUUCUGAGAUCAGGCUGAUUAGGCUGAAUUCAUCUCCCAGGUAAGUUCUGUUUCAUCCAGGAAUAUCCUAUCAAGCUGGAUGAGUUGCUUCACAGUCGUGCUGUCUUCCUCAAAUGCAAGAGGUGGUAACAAAAUGUGUCUGUCUGUGCUAAUUUCUGUAACAAAUUGCAGAGCCUGGCUCCCCUUCUGGACACUGUCCUCUGCUCACUAUUUCUCUGCGCAGCUUUGAGGAAACCUGCUGGUGCUGCCUGUUUUCAUUUCUUCCUACCCAAGUUCCUCAAGCCAUCCCACCCUACUUUCAAGUGCUAGAAGCUCCCAGCCCCAAAGCUGUUUGCAUGCAGAGUUAAGGCUGUGGCUCUUGCUUUUCCAGCCUGUUGUGUAGGUGCAGAUAAUCACAAAAGUCCACUGCAGGAACCGAGGAGAUGAAGCUUUUCUCAGGCAUUGCAGGUGAAGCAGGCUGUCCUGCGCUUGGAAGUCCUUUUUCCCAGCUGAAGCGUUUGAAAUGGAGGCUAGCUCUGAGCUCAAAGCUUUUUGUUCUUUUUUUACACGUAUUUUUGCUCAAUAAUCUCUGACUGGGGGGAAGAAGUGAUGUGCCAAGCUUUCAGAAACCCUUUCCAGGAGCUGGUGGUGGAAGUGCUGCAGCUGCUGGGCAUUGGGGUACCUGGGUGAGAGAGGACUUCUUGCUGUGCACCUGGGCAGGGCUCAAAGGAAAGGGCUGAGGAGGAAGGAGCUGCAGUGGGGAGCAGUGUGCUGGAGGUUGUUGCACGGCUGGUUGUGCUGAUCUGGAUUAGAAGGCUUUAGUGCAGCCCUGGUAUUUUUUUUCUCCUGAGAUGAAUUCCCCCAGGGCGUCUUAUGCUACUUGGGCCCUGCAGGCAUUGUAAUAUUGGGUGAAUGAUUCUUUGUAGCACUGACUGGGUUUUGAGCUCUUGGUUGUGACCUGGAGAUGUUGGAUGAGUUUAAGUCUUACUCCGCUGUGAACUCCACCUUUUGACAAAGGAGAAAACAAUGCACGCCCCAUGCCAACGCCAGUCCUAGGUAAGCAGUGUUACUACUGAAGGAGCAUUUUUUGACCAUGUAAGCAGCAGAGUAAAACUUCUUGCUGACCUCUAAGUUCAGGCAUCUCUCCUGCUAAUCUGGUGAAUACCUGUGCUAAUCACAAAGCAGUAUCUCCAUGCUGCCCCAUAGGCUUCCUGCUCCCAAACUGGCUCUGUUACCUCUGUCUCUCCAGUUUGCUGGGCACGGACACAGAAUUACUGCAUCCAGCUUGGUAGGUACAGGGGGAGUUGUCUGCGGUGGUCAAUGAGAGCAGCCUCAGAGGGACUGGAGGUUAUCAGAGGUACCAUGAGCAAGGUAUCCGUGAGUCAUCACAAACCCACUGUUCCUCUGUAGGUUAGAAGCAAACAGGGAACUCGCAAUAAAUGUGUAAAGAUGAUGCUUGUUUUUAAUUUGGGGUUUCGAACUCCCUUACUUGUCCAGUUUCAGGGUUGGGUUUGACUUCCAUCCUCAGAGCAAAGUGAAACAGCACCAACUGUGAAAUGGAGAAGCAGUUAUUUGCCAACUGGAUUUGUGCCUUUGCUUAAUCUUUUCCUUUGACUCAUUCACUUUCUGUUACAGUGGCGGUAGAAAACGUACAAAAAAUAUUUCACAAGAUACUAUUUUCUAUAAAUAGAGCAACUGCAACCCUGCAAAAACACACUGAAGGUGUCAUUAAGACUGAAAGACAAUUCAGCAUUCUUCUUAUGCUCUUGAGGAUUUAUCCCUGUUUCUAGUCUUUCAUCAGGUUUUCUUUAACAGCUGACAUAUGGGUUGAUAAAAUAAAUACAAAAUAAAAGUGAAUGAAAGAGCCCUCUACUGUACAGAAUGCAGGGCUCUUCCUCAAUGAGAUGCUCAAUAGUGAAUCGUGCGAUUGUUGCAGUGCUAUUGGCAAGCGUCGGAGUCGAAGGCGAAAACCCAGACUCAAUGUGUGCACUAUUUUUUCCUUCCCGGAAUUUAAAGAAACAUUUUCCCAAUGCAGGAACCUCUAAGGAACAGGACAAUGUAUGUAGCCAUAAACUCGUUGCAUUGUUUCUCGUUGCUGUGCUUCCUGGGUUCUUUUUUGGUGAAUGGUUUCCUGCCCCACGCCAGAUGCUGUUUUCCUUCACAAUGAAGUAACAGUUCUUUGUUAGUGAUAUCACACUAUUAUACCACAGUCCUUGCUGUGGCUUCUCAAAUUUAGCGUACUGAAACGCAUGCUUUGUUGGUUGUUUGGGUGCUUUUAGAUCUGGGGUUUGAUUGAAGUCAGUCUGUGCCAAAAAAGAAGGGACGGAGGCCGGGGAACUUGGACAGUAUGCAGAGAAACAUGGCAACAAAAGAAGGGCAAAAAGAAAAAAGUUGAAUAUUUGGUAUAUCCGGUCUCUCCUUGUGUAGAUAGAGGAACAACUUGAAGUAAUGCUUGUGUAAUUCACUGCUGUAGGCAUUGAACUGCUGAUCCUGCCCGGGGAUCCCUCGUGCCAGUGGGAUCGGGCUGGGGGACACGGGGCUGCUCCUUCUCCCCACCUGUAUGUAUGCUUCCUAGCCUGAAAUAAAGCAAGAAUAACCACAUACAAAUAAUUUCUAGUUCUUUAACUGGAUCACAGGGGCUGACCCUUCUGAACAGAGAGCAGAAACUUUGCUGUUCCCCUUUAGACGUGACCUGUGGGUUUCACCUUGUGAUGACACAGUUCCAUCCUGUGCCGGUGUAAGGUUUACUAAAACUGGUGUGUGUUUGUGCCAGUGUCCGUGUGCAUAGCAGGGAGUUCUUCUGAAGGGUUAUGUAAAAGUAUAUUUUCCAGAAGACAGAACAAAUACAAGGAAGCCGGUUUAGUUACUUAAGGCCUGAUUGUGCAAGGAGCGGAAUGUAAAAUUAACCUGGGUUUUAAAUGCAGGUUCUGGGAUGUCACAUCCCGUGGGUUUGUGUCAGCUCGGAGGGGUGUGUCCGUAUGUACACAUGUAUAUGUAUGUCCUGAAGCAUAAUGGAUAUGAGGACCUAAUCUCAUGUUUAUUUUUUCCCCUGGAAAGCUAACUGGGAAGAAGGAAAUGAUAAGUAACUAUUGACUUGAAAUCUUUCCUGGGAAGACGCCUUCUGGGGCUGCUUUGGGGCCUUUCUGGCCAGCAAAGGAGCUGGCAAACAGGGCUGUCACCCAGUGACGUUUUCAGGGUGUAUGGAGGAGGUCUGGUUAGAGCUGUGGAGCAGGGGAGGUGUUUGUAGGACCUGAUAGAAUGUCGACAUAUUGAAAUGUGCUGAUAUGGGAAGUUUUAUGAAAUAGAAAACGCGGGCAAAUUUUGCUCACUGUAUUCCGCUGGGGCUGCACCAGGUUGGAUGAUGAGGCUGAAUUUUGUCAGAAACAAUUCUGAGGGAAAUUAUUAACAUGCAGAUAAAUGAACGUGGCUGGCUGACCAGAAGAACCUGUACUCAUGUAGCAAAUGUUACAUUACUCCUACUGCAAUGCUUUCUGAAGUAGGUUUUCAAAUCAUCAUUCUCCGUUUUAAAUUCAGCUCUUAAAUCCCAAAAGGGAAUUCACUGGCAGCCAUUUGCAUUUUAAAGCAAAAACUCAAACCUCAAUAGAGUGCUCUGCUUAAGACUCCUUUUAUAUAACUUGGCCAACGAGCUCUGUCCUCAUGGAGGCCUUGGGGAGUCAACCAAAGGGCUGAGACAAGACAGAAACACUUGGGAAAAAGCCUGGUAAAUUGCUUUGUGUAAUGCAGGCCAUGCUGGUAUCUGAGCAGAGCUCUCCUGUUGUUCUCAUGGCCGUGCCUUUGUCGUUGGGUGAAAGGAAGACCUUCAGCCUUUGGCAAACCCUCUGCCUACAUCACCGGCUAUUCUCUCUUCCGGUGCACGAGGGGAAAUCACAGUAGAACUCUGAGUUCAGAUUUUGCAAGAUGGGGAACUACAGUGGGAAAGUUACAGGAAAAGCGACGUGUUCUCUUGCAACAAAGAUUUCUCAGGGGCUGACUCAUCUUCUGAGAGCGUAUGAUUCAGGAGAGAAACGAAGUAGGCUGCUCUGCCCCUCAGGCCAUGGGUUUGCAGGUGGAAGUGGUAGGCGGUCCACUCCUUCCCUUGGAGACACUGGAUUCAUCUUCUGCACAAAUGUCCCACUUCCUUUAGCUGAGUCGUGCUCUCUGUUUUUAUUCCACCGUAGCAGACUUCAAAUACGUACAUGACUUUCUUUCUUAUUGCCAAGAGAUCCAGUAUCCUGGCUGCUUCUUGCUGAAGGCGUUUGAAAGCUUUGAAAGUACUGCUAAUUAUUUUCUUGGGGUCCUCUGAAGAAUUGUACAUUUCAAAUGUUAUUAAAAAAAAGUACAGAGUGUGAAGCCACUAUUUUAAAUAAGUUUAUAAAUUGGUAGUACUAGAGAGCACUGUCUCUAUUUGGGGCGUUUUAAAAACAAAAAAGUAUUUGGCUCCAAUUGUAGAGCAAGGUCUGCAAAUAGGAAUCCCUGUGCCUGGGAAUUCCAAAUCCCACUGAUUUUCAGGCCAGCUCAAUUGAAGACUAGGCUUAAAUUAUCACGAGAUCCUUCGGCUCCUUUCCAAAACGUGGUCUGGUGGCAGGAGCUGGAAGGCAGAACUUCUGGGUCUUCACUGUGCUUCGUCGCGCGCAGCUCCCUUGUCUCCAGGUUGCACGUUUCAAGAAAGCAAAGUAAAUAUUCCUGUGUUGACAUAAGAAUGACUGGGUAGUUGGGAGCCCUGAAGCUUGUAAUGAUGAUUGCAACAGGAAAUGUAGCUUAGUAUUUGCUUAAACAGAAUGAUGCAAACUGCAGCCGUCUGUGCUGAUACCGAAUUGAAGUCGGGGGGGCUUUUUGGUGGAGUCACUUUGCUGUAAUGUGCACAGGAGGGGAAAAAAAAGGAUUGCAAGUAUUGUGCUGCUGGUGGGAAGAAGUUACUAGCAAUAAAGCUUUGCUGUAUCAGCCACAAAACGUUUGAUAGAUGUGAAAUGUCUCCCAGACUCCUCAAGAUUCUUUAUUUUCUGUUCCUGUGUCAUGUGUUACUCCUUGACACGCCCUGGUGCUUGCAGACUGAGUAACUGUACAAACAAGUGAUGGAGCAGAAAGGAGGUGACUUCAGACUGCCACAGAAGAGCUUGUUAGCACAGGUGACUCCGUGAUGCUUGGUGAAACAUGCUGAAUCAGACCUGAUUGCAGAAGGAGGGGGAGAUUUCUUGUUGUUGAAUUGCACUCAUCUUCAAAGCUGCUGCAGAUGAUUCCACGUUUGUUCAGCAGGACAGAGCCCUGAGGUUUUUAUAUUCUGUGUUGUUUGGUGCCAGUUGUUAAGAUGAGUUGGCUUUUAAUCCACCAAUGAAUACUGAAUGAAGAAUUCAAUCAUGAAUCAGAUCUCUUCUUUUGCUUGCUGGUAAUACAAGGCAUUUUUAUUUUCCAUUUCAGAUUUCUUUUGCUGUACAGGACAAAAAUAAAUUAUGAGAGGAAAGAAGUCAAAAUUGUUCCUCUCAAGCAACCCUCCCGCAUCAAUGCUUAAUCUUUCCAUUAUGUGUGAUAUCAUUAAUCAUUCUGCUCUGAUAUUUGACACACGUUUGUGGGGAAAAAAUCAGAUCUAAUAUGAAAGAUGCAAUAAUACUGACUUAUGUGGAUCUGCAGCUAAUUAUAACAUAUUUGAAUUUUCAUCUUUCAUGAAAGACCUCUAUAAAAUGAAGAUCCUUUCACACUGCAAUGAGUGUCUGAGUGAAACUGGCAAGCAGACAAGGGGAGAGGAAAGAGAUGUCCAAGGACAAGGGGAGAAAUCUCAGCAUCGUAAUGAGCCAAAAACUGCAGAAAAUAUCCUCAGUUGGUGGUGGAUUUCUUCAUUGUUUUGGCUUCUUUAAGCUCUCUCCUGUGACUUAUCCACAGCAAACUGCGCUUCUCGGGUUACUGAAGUUGGAAUGGUUUGGUUGCCCUUUGUGAUGUAGAAUCACAGAGUUGUUGAGGUUGGAAGAGACCUCCAAAAUCACUAAGUCCAACCACCAACCUGGCCCAUGAGUCCCAUCACCAAACCAUGUCCUUAGUGCCAUGUCCACACAUCUCUUAUGAACCUCCAGGGUUGGGGAUUCCAGCGCUUCCCUGGGCAGCGUGUUACAGCAUUUGACCAAUGUAUGGGCAACUCAUCCUACUGUUUUCAGAGACAAAAUGAUUUUUUUUGUCAUAGGUGGACUAGAAGAGAAAAGACAACAGGAAGCCUUCAGCCCAUCAUGAGGAGAUAUGAUGUCAAAGGGGAAGAAUUACUAAAUAUUUCUUGCAGUUCAACCUCUCCUUCCUUCCUCCCUCCAUCUCUUGUGUUUUGGGUUCCAUUUGUCAGUCUGUUACGUGCUGUGAGCCAGGAUCCUGCUGCUUGAGUAUAGCACAGCGCAAGCUGCUGUUUAAAUCUCUCCACCAUAGAGUACCUGCAUGGAGUUGCGAUGUGAAAGCCAGAUUAAUGGCACUGUUUUAGGCGCAGAGCAGUUGGAGAAAGGCCAUCAAGAGAGGGAAGAUGGAGUUGCAAAACUGCAGGAACCUUGGAUUUCCACAAAGGAAUGUUGCAUCCCAAUGUAGAUGCCCAGUGCUACAGUAGGUUGGCAACCUUCUGAUGUUAUUUGUGGUUUUCAGAGAAGUGUUGCUUCCCAAAGGCAUUUGUGAAGCUGGAUGCUGGAUCAAGUGUUAGUUCACUAGUAAAAGUUUUGUAUUGCUUUAUGGCUCUCAAACAGCCUUGUUCGCAGAUAGAGGAUUUGUCCUAAGUGCAGUGCAGAUGAUGAUGAGUUGUGGCAAUUAACAGUAUAUCAUACUUGCAGGUUAAUAUAUUUUUUUCUUGAAGCACUCUUUAGUGUUUCUUCUUGUGCAGAAUUGAGCCUGAAUAAGGAGUUCUCUUUCCACUCAAGCACACUUGUGUGCUGUAGUUGUUUUCUAAAUUCAGUUUGCGAUUUGCCUCCUAAAACCAGGGCUGCCUCAGCUCUACCCUUGCAACCUCAGAGUUGCACAUAUCUGUCAUGUGUAGCUAGUACAAGCAAUAUGAUCUGCCAUUUAAAUCUUCCAUCAAGUUUUUUUAAUUAAGAGCUGCAUAACAUUACCGUUCACGGGCUAGAUCAAUUUUAUGCUUUAAUUUGUUGAGUCUAAGAGAAUGGUGAAAAUAUUCAAAGGCUUUCUCACUUCUGUGAACUCAUUCUCCGGUACUGGCAUGAUCUCAGCACAUCUGUUUGCUGAAGCCUUUACUGCUGUCAGACAUUCCUCACUCACUUCUGCUCACCCUUUAUAACAAGAGUUUAGCAUGCACCAUGUGGGGCACAUUUUUAUGACCCUAACUCAGCUGUGAUCUUGCCAGUGAUAAUGGAGAGAUGCUCACUUGAAAUGUUACUUAAGGAAUAAGCACAUGUACUGGAGGAUUCUUCUCUCUAGGCCAGCUAAGGCUGAGCAUAAGAUUUCCAGUGCAUCUUUAGCAUAGAUGCUAAGCCCUGGAACCAGGCAUAUAAAAUAGGGUUCUUGGAAGGAAAUGAAAGCUGCCACCUGCCUAAUAGGGUUGGCAAUAGGAAAGGUGUUGCAGGGAGUACUGCAGAAUUGCAGCAGUUCAGUGGUACUGUUGUCACAGGCAACAGAAAAAAAAAAACUACCUAUCAGUUCUAAUCUGGAAUAUAUCUACAGAGAAAAUGGAGCUGUGAU